AUGCCUAAUGGCCAAACGAUAAAGUGUCACCAGCCAGAGGCCUAUAAAUAUCUGGGCAUAUUACAGCUGGACAACAUCAAGCAUGAACAUGUGAAAACUGUGGUCAGCAAAGAAUACACACAAAGGGUCAGAAAAAUUCUCAAAAGCAAGCUCAAUGGAGGCAACACCAUCAAGGCCAUAAACACCUGGGCCAUACCUGUCAUAAGAUAUACUGCUGGCGUUAUAAAUUGGACACAGGAGGAACUGGACAAUUUGGACAGAAAAACAAGAAAACUCAUGACCAUUCAUCAUUCACUGCACCUUCGCAGUGAUGUUGACCGGCUAUAUCUGCCUAGAAGAUCAGGUGGCAGAGGACUCUUACAAGUCAAACAAGCAGUCAAAGAAGAAGAACAUGCCCUGGCAGAAUAUGUAAAGCAAAGUGAAGAACCUGCUUUGAUUGAAGUCAAAAAUCAGAAACUCCUCAAAGCACAACAGACAAAAAAUCAGUACAAGAAAACCGCACUACAAACUAGAGCUGACAGCUGGCACAACAAAACAUUGCAUGGAAAGUUCCUUGACAAAAUUGAGGGAAAAGCUGAUAAGGAGAAGACCUGGCUCUGGCUCACGAAUGGGACCCUGAAGAAGGAGACAGAAGGCCUGAUCCUUGCAGCCCAGGAGCAAGCCAUCAGAACAAAUGCAAUUAAGGCCAAGAUCGAAAAAUCAGCUGAUGACCCAAAAUGCAGACUGUGCAAGGAAACCGACGAAACCAUUGAUCAUAUCCUCAGUUGCUGUAAGAAAAUCGCACAGACAGACUACAAACAGAGGUACAACUAUGUGGCCCAAAUGAUUCAUUGGAACUUAUGCUUGAAGUACCACCUGCCAGCAGCAAAGAACUGGUGGGAUCACAAACCUGCAAAAGUAUUGGAAAAUGAGCACGCAAAGAUACUGUGGGACUUCCGAAUCCAGACUGACAAAGUUCUGGAACACAACACACCAGACAUCACAGUUGUGGAAAAGAAAAAGGUUUGGAUCAUUGAUGUUGCCAUCCCAGGUGACAGUCGCAUUGACGAAAAACAACAGGAAAAACUCAGCCGCUAUCAGGACCUCAAGAUUGAACUUCAAAGACUAUGGCAGAAACCAGUGCAGGUGGUCCCAGUGGUGAUGGGCACAUUGGAUGCCGUGCCAAAAGAUCUCAGCCGGCAUUUGGAAACAAUAGACAUUGACAAAAUUACGAUUUGCCAACUGCAAAAGGCCACCCUACUGGGAUCUGCACGCACCAUCUGA
rnacentral:lncRNA from 1 species